AGCGAACGCUGGCGGCAGGCUUAACACAUGCAAGUCGAGCGGGCCCUUCGGGGUCAGCGGCAGACGGGUGAGUAACACGUGGGAACGUACCCUUUGGUUCGGAAUAACGCUGGGAAACUAGCGCUAAUACCGGAUACGCCCUUUUGGGGAAAGGCUUGCUGCCGAAGGAUCGGCCCGCGUCUGAUUAGCUAGUUGGUGGGGUAAUGGCCUACCAAGGCGACGAUCAGUAGCUGGUCUGAGAGGAUGAUCAGCCACACUGGGACUGAGACACGGCCCAGACUCCUACGGGAGGCAGCAGUGGGGAAUAUUGGACAAUGGGCGCAAGCCUGAUCCAGCCAUGCCGCGUGAGUGAUGAAGGCCUUAGGGUUGCAAAGCCCUUUUGUCCGGGACGAUAAUGACGGUACCGGAAGAAUAAGCCCCGGCUAACUUCGUG
rnacentral:rRNA from 1 species